ACAUCUAAAGCAUGUAGGGCAGGGUUCCCUGAGGACCAGGGUUGGGAAAUACGGAUCGAAAUGAAUAAGAGUCCAUGCAGUAUCCUAAGAAGAAGAGCUGGACACAGGUACUGCUGUACUGCUGCAGGUAUAGGAUGACAUCACCAUCACUCAUCUCCAGGAAGCAGGUGAUGCUGAAAGACUCCUGCAGAGGCUCUACAUUCUCCUCCGUGAUGCCGUCCAGGUCUUCGCCCCACACAUCCACCGCUGAGAAAAUCAACGCCACCAGUACGGCGAAGCAGCACACCAAGGCAAAGAUCAUGAUGCACUUCUGCUGAGACUGCAAGUUGUAGGAAAGAAAACACCCAGGAAAACUCCAGCCAAAUAAUCUCCCUGGUUGCGAAAUUGCACAAUCCAGAAGGACAAUUUCCCUGGAGAUUUGUCAAAGUUCAGAGGAGCGAUGGGCAGCAGAGGAUUGUGCAACGGCCUCCGUCGCAUUGGGCCAUGAAAACCAACAUAUCUGUGAUGCUCAACAAAAAUAUGAAUAGCCUACAGCAGAAAAAUCAAACUGCCUUUUUUUUUACAUUUACAUUUAUAUUAAAAAUUCAGCACAAAUAAUGUGAACUGUGGAUUAACCACACAAUGAAAGCAAUUAUUCUACAUAUACUGUACCUUACUGUGAUACACACUAAACAUUGCACUUUAAGCAGAUUCAUGUCAUAACACCUCCUAAUCUAAUCUCCAACGUCAGCUCAGAUCACUUACAUGUUAUUGGUGUGCUGGGAUGUUAUUCUUUUCCCUAACCAUGGACUUUAGAUUUAUGCACUAAUAAUGUGUUUUCUCAAGACAGUGUAAUUGCUGUCAGUAAAUACUGUAUUAUGCUGUUUAGUUUUCAUAUUGCUUUGGGACAUUGGUGGGAUAUAUAACGUCAUUAAAAGUGUCAUUAUUACAUUCAUAUGUCAAAGUCUAUUAAUCAUUAGCCGUGUACUGUUCGACUGCAGUCUUAUUUACAAUCACAAUCAUAUA